UACUAAUUAAAAAUAGUACUUUACUUAACCAGGCCUCCAGGGAACAAACUGAUGGUUUUCUUCUAACAUACUUUUCAGAUUUUCAGAGUUAUUAAUAAACAGAUUGCCUUUAUUUUACCUUUAACCUUGAUUACAAGCUUGGUUGGUUUUGGAAUUCCAGGUUGGAAAGGUUGGAGUCCAGUGGCGUGAUCUCAGCUCACUGCAAUCUUCACCUCCCAGGUUCAAGCGAUUCUCCUGCCUCAGCCUUGUGAGUAGCUGGGAUUACAGGCAUGUGCCACCACACCCGGCUAAUUUUUGUAUUUUUAGUAGAGAUGGGGUUUCACCAUCACAACCGCAUUUGGCUAGUUUUUUGUAUCUUUAGUAGAGAUGGGGUUUUGCCAUGUUGCCCAGGCUGGUCUGGAAUUCCUCAGCUCAAGUGGUCUGCCUGCUUUGGCCUCCCAAAGUGCUGGGAUUACAGGCGUGAGCCCCCUUGCCCGGCUGAGACAGUCUUGAAUAUCGGCAGUCUCCUCCUAUUUCCCCCACACCCCCCGACAAAAAAAAAAAAUCUGAAAACAUUUUCUUGGCCAACUUGACUCUAGAAACCUUUCAAGGAUUUAGAUGACAUAAUUAUUAUGUCUGUUUAUGGUGUAUGUUUCUAGUUACAUGUGCAUUUUUGAAACUGCUUUUUUCCUUACUUUGACAUUUUCCUAUCCAGUCUGAUUAAAUUUCCCUGUUUGUUUGAUGAUUGUUUUGGUUCAUUUGAAAGAGGAUCCAAAUGAGAACUGUAUGUGGCAAUUUUUAAAUGUGUCAAGUCUCUUCGUCUCUAUAGAUUCAUCCUUUUCUCCCUCCAAAAUGUUGUAAUUUAUUUGUUGUAAAAAAUGGGGUCAUAUGUCUCGUUUUUGCUGAUGAGAAUAUAGUACUUUUUGAAUCUGUGUAUUGUUCUUGGAAAUUUUAUUCCAAGUUGCAAAUAGUCAUCAUAUCACAUUGAGGCAGUCUGUUUCCGUUUUUCCUCGAGGUGUGUUUUUGGGAUUGCCAUAAUGUGACCACCUCCAAUUAUUUUGCAGACAUGUUAAUGAUGUGUUACUGUAUAUGAUAAACAUUUUAACUUUCAGGUGCACCUAUACAAAAGUAGACUUGUAGUUCCAAUAUGUUUCACUAGAAAAUUCAGCAGGGAAAAAAAACAAAACAGAACACAAAAGCCUUGUCAAACUUAGGCAAGACUGUAAUUUUUUAUUGUCUGGGUUGAUGGAAAUUUUCUGUUAUAACCGAGAUAGUUUUUGAAGGAUUGUUCUCCCUUAUAGAUAAGUUUUUAAAGGUUUUAGGGGAAAUUGCAAACAUUCAAAGUAAACAGAAUAGUGUAUUGAAUCACCAGAUGCCCAUCACCCAGCUUCAAGAGUUCAGAUUAAAUUAAAAAUGUGCUACAUUUAAGUUAGCUUGCAUUUUAGAAAAGAUUCUUGUUUGGAUAUUUCUGCCAUUCAAGCAGUAGCUGUGAGAAGUCUAAGGCAGGAAAGUAUAAAAUGGGAAAUGGGUAAUUCAUUUAAGUGUUGGUUACUAAUACUUGUUUCCUGUUAGAGUGUAGUUAGGGGUAUGAAAUAUUAGUACAGCCAACAUAAACAGUUUUGUUCCAUUUUAAUCAGGUAAUUCAGCUAGAAUGCUCUUUCAUUGUGAAUGUUUGUUUUAUUAUGUGAAUUACAUAUACUCAUAAAAGUAUUAAGAGAACUUUGUAAG
rnacentral:lncRNA from 10 species